rnacentral:rRNA from 1 species
GAUGAACGCUGACAGAAUGCUUAACACAUGCAAGUCUACUUGAACUUCGGUUUAGGUGGCGGACGGGUGAGUAACGCGUAAAGAACUUGCCUCACAGAUAGGGACAACAUUUGGAAACGAAUGCUAAUACCUGAUAUUAUGAUUUUAGGGCAUCCUAGAAUUAUGAAAGCUAUAUGCACUGUGAGAGAGCUUUGCGUCCCAUUAGCUAGUUGGAGAGGUAACGGCUCACCAAGGCGAUGAUGGGUAGCCGGCCUGAGAGGGUGAUCGGCCACAAGGGGACUGAGACACGGCCCUUACUCCUACGGGAGGCAGCAGUGGGGAAUAUUGGACAAUGGACCAAGAGUCUGAUCCAGCAAUUCUGUGUGCACGAUGAAGUUUUUCGGAAUGUAAAGUGCUUUCAGUUGGGAAGAAAAAAAUGACGGUACCAACAGAAGAAGUGACGGCUAAAUACGUG